rnacentral:rRNA from 1 species
UACGUAGGGUGCGAGCGUUAAUCGGAAUUACUGGGCGUAAAGAGUGCGUAGGCGGUCCCGCAAGUCCGCUGUGAAAGCCCCGGGCUUAACCUGGGAAUGGCAGUGGAAACUAUGGGACUUGAAUCUGGCAGAGGGGGGUGGAAUGCCACGUGUAGCAGUGAAAUGCGUAGAGAUGUGGCGGAACACCGAUGGCGAAGGCAGCCCCCCUGGGCUGAGAUUGACGCUCAGGCACGAAAGCGUGGGGAGCAAACAGG